GGAUGGGCGUAGCUAGUGCGGAGCCUCCAGGCUUUCAUAAAUUUCUACGGGGAUGUGCCCACUUUAGCUCGCUUGCCUCUAGUAUGCAAAAAAAUUGUUUGAGUCAUUGCCUAAAACAAUUAUCAUAUAGAGAAGAAGAAUUAUCUAAAGGUGAAUCGAAAUGUUUGGAGCGUUGCGUUAAAAAAUUUAUUAAAACUUCCGAAAUUUCAAGGAAUUUAUUACUAAAUCAGAG